ACGAGGUCGAAGGGGCCACAUUCAAGCUUAUAAAAUCCUUUCAAAAUUUUCUCAAAAAUUUCGUCACACACAAAAACAAAAAUCAAAAAAGGACUCUUCCACCCCUCGAAAAACAUCUGCUCCUCCGCUCUUCCAACAAUGGAGCAAAAGGAAAAAAAGAGGAAUAGCCUCGAUCAAAAUGGUGGUUUCCCUUCGACAAAAUCCCUCCGAAAAAACGAAAAAUUAUUUGUUUUUAAAUUCCGGGUGAAAGUUCCCAUAAAUUAGGAAACAAAGUGGUGUAAACAACGCAGUGUUCACAGCACGUCUCGUUUACAUUAAGUUAUACAAUCAGGUCAAAAUUUACUAUAGACAAAAAACACAAAAAUUCCCCAAAUUUUUGCACUUUUGCCAACAAAAAAUCUGUUGCUCCGAGAGACGAGACGCGAUUGACCUGGGACAAGGAGCCUCUUAAAAGGUAAAGAUCACCACAUACAUCGUGAGAAAAAGAGAGAUGGACGAGACGAGGGCAACAUCGCGGUCAGAGAGACAAUUCCAAUUUCCUCCCGAUCUCAUCCCAUCCAGCUGAGUCGGGCGAAAAUAAGGCGACUUCAAAUCAAAAGAAGAAGAAAAAAACCGAUCAGUUUCUACACCAAGCAAGCAAUUUCCCAGCUGGGAGAAGAAGAAGUUGAUCAAAAAAAGUAUGGUGUGCUCCUCCUAUAAUUUCCUGACUUUCACUCUCAACACGCCUCAUUGGCUGGGGAAGGAAGGCAGAAAAAAGGAAAUGAGAUUUCACUUCCAGGUAAAAAAAGACGGUGGGGGUCGGGCAGAAAGGAUCACGGUUGGAGGCACGUAGUGCAGAGAAUUUCCAACUGUGUUUAUCCAACUUGGUUGAGAAACGGCAGGAGGGAAAAGGGUUGGUUUGGUGUGGCUAUUUAGUCGGUGGGUAACUUUAGUCGGUGGAGCCCGAGGCAGGUGGGGAAAAAGCCUCUCAAAACAUGACAGUGUCUCAUUGAUAGAAACUUUAUAUCUUGAUUCAGUUUUCCCAGAUAGGAAAAGCCGGUCAGAACAUGAUACUUUACUAUUUUCGUCCAAUUUACCGUAAUUUUUUGCCUUCAUCACUUUUCCCUGGGUAAAAAGCCGGUCAAACCAAAAACAUGACAGAUUGACCAGGAAGAGACGACCUUCGCCUUGCAACAAAAUAAGCGAACUGCAUCCAUCUAUAACGUGUAGUGGAAAUACAUAAGACCGACGACCGACGCCGCGACUUGAGCCUCUGCCAUGCCACGCCACUUGAGAGAGGAAUAAUAAUAAACAUAAUAAUAAUACUGAAAAUGCAGCUCGUCUUGAUUAGAUGUGAUUGUCAUGAGCAUGGUCUAAAUAAAACCUAAAGAUGCGGAUUAAGAUAACCCACACACCAUUCAAUCCAACACCACGGCCACCACCGCCACUUGACUCCAACCAAAUUAUCACAUCAAACUCCAAUCAUUUGUUUAUCCCCAAUCUUUACGGGCUCAUUUCAUAAAUGCCCAAAUUUUAUCGACCCCUCGUUUUCCCGACAACCAACCAACCACGGGUUAUUUAUUCAUUCAUUCAUUUCGGGUAUACACGUUUAGGGGAGGAUUUUGCAAGGAAUUUUCACCGUGCAAAUUUUAUAUGAAAAAACUUUAUGCUCUGGAUUUACAGGAAUUUUGGAGAAUGUUUUCACCCCUUUGUUGCAUAUUUUUUCAUAAACUUGGAGAAAAUCGCAUCCUAAUUUCACCCUGAAGAAGUUUCACGUCUUUCUCAUAUUUCCAAGAUUUAUGCAAAAUUUAUAUUAAUAACUAGAUCAAAUUAGACUACACAAAAAAGAAUUUUAUUUACAAUAUUUUUUUUGGACACAAUUUUUACCAUCAAUUUCAUAAUUCUUUAAAACCUCAC